rnacentral:rRNA from 1 species
UCCGUAGGUGGAUAAUUAAGUCAGUGGUGAAAUCCUGCAGCUCAACUGUAGAACUGUCAUUGAUACUGAUUUUCUUGAAUACAGUUGAGGUAGGCGGAAUAUGUAAUGUAGCGGUGAAAUGCUUAGAUAUUACAUAGAACACCGAUUGCGAAGGCAGCUUACUAAACUGUGAUUGACGCUGAGGCACGAAAGCGUGGGGAGCAAACAGGAUUAGAUACCCUGGUAGUCC